rnacentral:rRNA from 1 species
UAGGGAAUCUUCGGCAAUGGACGGAAGUCUGACCGAGCAACGCCGCGUGAGUGAAGAAGGUUUUCGGAUCGUAAAGCUCUGUUGUAAGAGAAGAACGAGUGUGAGAGUGGAAAGUUCACACUGUGACGGUAUCUUACCAGAAAGGGACGGCUAACUACGUGCCAGCAGCCGCGGUAAUACGCAGGUCCCGAGCGUUGUCCGGAUUUAUUGGGCGUAAAGCGAGCGCAGGCGGUUAGAUAAGUCUGAAGUUAAAGGCUGUGGCUUAACCAUAGUAGGCUUUGGAAACUGUUUAACUUGAGUGCAAGAGGGGAGAGUGGAAUUCCAUGUGUAGCGGUGAAAUGCGUAGAUAUAUGGAGGAACACCGGUGGCGAAAGCGGCUCUCUGGCUUGUAACUGACGCUGAGGCUCGAAAGCGUGGGGAGCAAACAGGAUUAGAUACCCUGGUAGUCCACGCCGUAACGAUGAGUGCUAGGUGUUAGACCCUUUCCGGGGUUUAGUGCCGUAGCUAACGCAUUAAGCACUCCGCCUGGGGAGUACGACCGCAAGGUUG